UUAAGUUCAGCGGGUAUCCCUACCUGAUUCGAGGAGUUCACGUGUCUUGCUCUCUCCCCCGCCCGACAGACGGGCCAGGGCUGGCAGCCUCGCCGCGUACCGGCGGCAAUGCGUCAUAUCACGCUCGGCCACGCGGCAGGCGUCCGCCCAUGGAUUCCAGCGCGGUGGCCGCCCACUCGGGCACGCCACCGCAGCCAUGA
rnacentral:misc_RNA from 1 species